GGGCUUGUAGCUAAGUUGGUUAGAGUAUACGCCUGAUAAGCGUAUGGUCAGCAGUUCAAGUCUGUUCAAGCCCA
rnacentral:tRNA from 1 species